GAAGGCGAGAUCCAUGGAGGGGACGGAGCUGUGUUGACGCCGCCCCCUCCCCUUUGGCCGUGCCAUGCCCGAAGGCCAGCGCGCCUGAUGCCGCGUACUACCUCCGGUGUCCGGUUGGAGCCGCCGCUCACCGCCCCAGUCACCAGUGGCCCUGUGAACUGCCCCCCGAGCCACCGCGGAGGAGACUGUGGAAGCCGUUACAGUGGAGGGCUUCGCGCGAUCACGAUGCGGAGGAGCCGAGGGGCAGCAGCGCCGUCUUGCCGCUGGAUGCAGUCACGCUGCCGCUGUAUCCCACGCUCGUGCAUACUGCUGCCUUGACCUGUCCGUCCGCGCCGUCGUCAGCUAUUUCAGUGACCAGAGACCGUGCGUAGGCUCUGAUCCCCUGAGGAAACAUUGUUGCUCACUCUGUCGCCGGGCAAAACAUUGCCUCUGACCAUCUGCCGUGGAUGUUGAUGGUGUCCUGGUUGUGUUGAUGCCGAUGAAGGAUUGUCUGCAGCAGGAGGUUAUUAGAUUAAUCUGAUAUUUGAAGUUUAACUCAAUGAAAGUCCCAGUUUGUUAAAUUAAGACAUCACUGCAUACAAAUAUAUAUUUCUUUUGAACACAUGCAGUAGUAGUUAGUAGCAUUUAAAUCUCAGUAGAUACUAUAGUCUGUAUACACUCAAUUUGAGAACUAAUGAUUUUUUUCCCAAUCAGCUUGGCUUUGCUUUGGUAGUUUCCGCUUUGUCUAACAUCAACUAACAUAUUAGCCAAUUAUCCUCUGUACAUGGUGUUCUACUGCUGAAUUCCCUUAUAUAGUAGAGUUGAUGAUAAUCUUGCCUCCUACAGUAACUAAUGUAGAUGGAAGUUUGUUUGUCCAUCAAUCUCAAUAAUUUGUGUAACAUGGUAAUGCCCUGUAGCUUGUAUAUGCGUGCUGCACCUAAGUUUCAUAUUAUUUAAGUUUUCAAACAGAUUUUCUGAGUUUGGUUGAUAUCAAUAAAUGAACUAUAUCUGUUAGAGAACACUAUAGUAUGGAACUUAAGGUUGUGUUUGGUUCAGGAGCGGCGCGGGACUGUGCGGUCCUGUCCAUAUACAUUGAUACUUGUUUUCAGAUAGCUUAUGAAUGCCUUCAGAUCAUUUUAUAUGUACCAUACACCGCAAGAUGACAUGCAGGUAUGCCAAGCAAAUUACGUUGAGGGAGCAAAUUUAUUUUUCCUCUCUACAGAAAUUUAGCACUAGGCUUUGAAACUCCAAUGAAUGUAGGAAUGGCUUAUUGAUGUGGGGCACACGAUGCAGUCUGGCUUAUUGAUGUGUAAACUAAUAGCUGAUCUGGCUUAUUGAUGUGGAAACCAAUAGCUGGUCUGGCUUAUUGAUGUGGAAACCAAUCUGCAGUGUUUUUGAGGUUCUCUCUCAGUGUUUUUUUUUUGUUUCGGUUCCCAGAUUUGUGGCUAAUAAAAGCUCAGUAAUCAUCAUAUAUGAAUUUCUGUUUUGAUUAUACUGAUUGCUACACAAGCUAUCAAAAUUAUUUAUCAUCCCAUACCUAUCAACUAUAGAUUAUUCAGCAAGAAAAUGCUAUAUCUGUUGAGAACUGAAAAAGUUUCUAUGAAAACUGAAAAGUAGUAAGGUUGCGCAGUUGAGUUAAACUUGCUGGGAAUCUAGGUCACCCUUGCAGUAUGCAUCAUAGGCACUGGUAGUAUGAGAGCAGUUUUGCAUAAUUCAUAUUAGAAUAUGGAUUCAUGUCUGCUCAUGUGCCUACAACCUAUGGAAUUUGAUAUGACAAAGGAACAUCUAACAUUGUUAAAAAUUCUACUACUUAAAAUUUCCUUCUCUUAUCUGUGCAGUCUGGGCUUCUACUUCGGUUCCGGUAUCUAUGCCAUCAAAUCAUGGCGACUUCGUGUGCCAUCAAAUUGUGGUAAUUUUCUAUGCCAUCAACACUCGGAUAUGUUGCUAGAAACUUCUGCUCCCUCCUGUCAUAGUAGUCUACAAGAAAUGCUUGAUAUCUAAAGAUUUCACCUUUAUAUUUAAAGCCAUCUGUAUAAAUUCCCAUUAUAUUUGGAGAUUUUCACGACUACCUGUUGGUAAGCAACAUAAAAUGGGCAUGCAAGAUUACCAUUGCCAUGCAUGAGAAAACCACUCUAAUGCAAUACUUAUUUUAUAUCAGCUGAUCCUGCUUGCACUGCCCAGACCUGUUGUAUUAGUUGCCAUUGCAGUGCGUCAUGGAACUCGAUGUGUUGGAGCUCUACGGCAGUUUGUAUAUUUUCAAGAUUUUUCCUCUUUUUUUGUGUAGAGCCGCAAAUUCAGAGUACCAGUUUUGUGCAGGGCUGCUAACACUAGAUGUGUGCUUUGUUAACCUGUGGAGUUUGGUCACCAAAAGCUUCUUUAGAUUGUUGCAAAGAUAUAUAGUUCUGAGAGAUGUCUCCUUUUGCUGAACCUUUUAAUUGUGGCUAAACUCAUGUUGCCUCUCUA